UCGGUAAUGCUUUUUCCAGAAAAAUGAAAUUGGUUGAUAAAAAGAAUUCCGUUGCCGGGACUUGAACCCGGGUCUCUCGGGUGAGAGCCGAGUAUCCUGACCAACUAGACUACAACGGAAUGUUGGUUGUUUCAAUAGGUAAAACUUACUUGUACCAUAUCCAAAGAAUUAGCCGCUGAUGAAUUGUAGUAAGUAAUGAGGGUCGAGAAUCUCAAACCCUAAUCAGCAUCGAUGAGAAUCGCAAGCACUUCUCAUCUGGUUAAUCUUCCUCAUCAAAUUACAGUUGCGGAUGUUGUGAUUGUGGUUGCUGCGAUGCGCAUUGGGGUUGUUGCUGCCUGAAUUUUUAUUGGGGCGUGAAUUUUUAUACUUUAUCUUAAGAUUUUUCAUUACAUUUAUAACUAAAUUGCCUGAUGCGAUUCCUAAUGCAGUCGGAUGCAUGAUUUUAAAUUACACUACAAUUGGAGUCCGAUGCGGUUGCGGAGGCUACCGCAUCAGCAAUAUUGUGGCGGAAAUUGCGGUCGCAGACCACAAUUUAGAACCAUGGUUGUGGUUGUGGAUGUGGAGGAGAUUGGUGUUUAAGUUGGAGGAUGGAUGACUUGCUGAUAGAUCUUUGAAACUUAUUCAAUGGGGUAGGCUUUUGAAGCAAUGAAGAGUAUUCUCUUAGAGUUAGAAGCUUUUACAAGAUAGAUUUCCAACUAUAUUUCACCUUUUUAAAAGAGGAUCAAUGGAUUGUGAGAACCGAGAACAAGCAUUAAAGUGAUUUAUCCCGAACUAUUUCAAGUGGCUAAAAACAAAGAGGCAAGCAACUGUGACUAAGACUGUAUGCUAGAGAAUGAUGGCGUCUGGAGUUUUUAUGGCUGUGGAGGAGAAUGAGGUUUAGGUGGGGUGAGGACUUGCUAUUAGAUCUUUGAAACUUAUUUGCUGUGGUAGACUUUUCAAACAAUGAAGAAUAUUCUCUUGGAGGCUUUUUCAACAUAGAUUACCAACUAGAACUCAACUUAAAGAGAUUAGGACAUUUUCCGCAUGAGUUUCCUACUUGGGAUGAGACAGCAAACUAAGCAGAGUUUGAUGAAGAGGAAGAACUGUAACUUUUGGCUCAUAUUGGAAAAAUGACACUUGGGAAAAGAAGUCAAGGAAACUUGGUAAAAGAACACCAAGCGUAUUCUUCUUGGAGUUGGUGAGGAAUCAAUGGCUGGUGAUCAUGUCUCCAAAAAAGUUUUGGUCAGUAGAAAUGUCAAAUUUGAUGAAGCUAAAAAUUUGUAAUUGGAAGGGAGAAAAAGAAGAAAAUAAGAAUGAGCAUGUUGUUUUGGGGGGACAAAGUAGAAGAUUAGGAAGCUGAGCCCGAGGAAGGUGAAGGAUAAAGCUGAUGUUGAUGCGGAACUUGAAAUUGGAAGAUCAUGUCACUUGAUAGAUUCUGCUAAUAAUUUGUCAAGUAGUGAUGCUGCUGGAAAAAAUAAGGUGUACAAACUAAGAAAGAAAUUGUAUCUUUUCAAAAAGAUGUUGAAAGGAAUCAGAACAAUGAUAUAGUACUAGAAUUCUAAGCCAAUGCCUACCCUGCUACUGAUGCACAACCUGAGAAGAUAUCAUGGUUCCGAGGUUGCCAAUUCAGAUUUGACAGAGAUGCAACCAACCAAUUUCUUGGAAACCUUUUUCAAGUUGUCUAUGAUGAACUAGAUGCAUAUGCAAGAGGAAGAUUAAUCAGCCAGAGCAGCAAAUGAGUUGGUUUUUUACCAGACAGAAACACUUAGUCUACUCUUGUCCUAACAAGAUCAAACUUAAGUAUUACUUGCGCGAUUCGACCUCAACUACAUAUUUUAAAAUCUGAUAUUUAUAUUACUAUCAUACUCAAUUUCUAAUUAGUUGUCUAUAAACAUGAGUUUGAUGCAUUUUAGAGCCUCAAAGUUAUCAUCACUUAAAGUUAAAACAAACCUGAUAUUUUGUCUUGUACACUUGAACAGCUGCUGCAUGAGCAAGGAGUAGGUGAUGUGCAACUAAAUAGGGCUCUGUCCCUGAAUCACCGCCGGUGCAGUUGAGAUUUAGCCAAUCAGAGCAUCGACCGGGCGGAAACAUCCCUAUAACAUAUCCUGCUGUUGUGUAAGUCGAUGGUUCAUUUAUAGUAAUCCAAUGUUUCACUCGAUCUCCAAAUUCCUUGAAGCAAAGCUCCGCGUAAUCCCGAAAAUCAAAUCUAAAAGUUCAUAAUAGAAAAGUAUAAACAUUAGUUUUGUGCAUUUUAGAAACAGACACUUAUAACAUACAUUUAGAGGUCAUAACAUAUAGUACAUAAAAAGUUUGUUACUUACACAAUGAGAGGACUUAAGAAACCACCAUAUUCAUCUUCCAAAGCUUGUGGUAGAUCCCAAUGAAAAAUGGUUGCAAAUACUUCUAUACCUGAAAAACUAAUUAUUUUUUAAUCAACUUUAAUUGCAAAAAUGUCUUGAGAAAUUAGAAAAUCAAAAUUUACAAAAAAUAAAUAAAAAUUUGAAUUAUGACCAUUAGCUAAUAGCUCGUUGAUCAUGUUGUUGUAGUAUGUGAUCCCUUCCUCAUUUAUACCUCCACUUAUUCUUCCACCUGUCGAUUAUCAUUUUUUUAUUAUUAUGAAAAUGCCAUAAUUAAUGCAUUAUUUAAUUAUGUAAAGGAUAUGAGUCGAUAAAAAAAUCGACUUACUUGGUAGUAUUCUCGACCAUGAGAUGGAUAAUCUGUAUGCAUCUAAAUUCAUAUACUUCAUGAUUCCAACAUCUUCCUGUAAUUUUAUAAUAAAUUCAGUUUGUUGAGUUUAGUUUUAAUAUUCUCUACUCUGAUAUGAAUCAUACCUUGUAUAGAUGAUACCCAUCAACAGAGACUUCUCCUGUGUUUCUGUCAGCUAUCUUUUCUGUAUAUCAAUCACCAAUGAAUACAUUUUAGUUUUUCUUGUUU